AGCUGCCAGCAGCAGAGAGAGAAACAGAUUUAAAGCAGGGAUGUAAUGCUGUGAUUGGAUCAUGAAUUUCAUGGCCAAUUCUGGAUGGUUUAAUGAAAAGUGAACGCCUCUAA